GCGUUGUUCGGAUUUACUGGGCGUAAAGGGCGCGUAGGCGGCUCUACAAGUCACUUGUGACAUCUCCGGGCUUAACUCGGAACGGUCAAGUGAUACUGUCGAGCUAGAGUACAGAAGGGGCAACUGGAAUUCUCGGUGUAGCGGUGAAAUGCGUAGAUAUCGGGAGGAACACCUGCGGCGAAGGCGAGUUGCUGGGCAGAUACUGACGCUGAGGCGCGAAAGCUAG
rnacentral:rRNA from 1 species